GAGUUGUAUGAAAGGACAAAAGGUCAACUCUAUCUCUGGCCUGACAACACCCAUAUGGGGAAGGCAUUGCCACCUAUUUUGUGUCAUCUAACCAUUCUUU
rnacentral:ncRNA from 3 species